CAGUAGCCGCGGUAAUACGUAGGUCCCGAGCGUUGUCCGGAUUUAUUGGGCGUAAAGCGAGCGCAGGCGGUUAGAUAAGUCUGAAGUUAAAGGCUGUGGCUUAACCAUAGUACGCUUUGGAAACUGUUUAACUUGAGUGCAGAAGGGGAGAGUGGAAUUCCAUGUGUAGCGGUGAAAUGCGUAGAUAUAUGGAGGAACACCGGUGGCGAAAGCGGCUCUCUGGUCUGUAACUGACGCUGAGGCUCGAAAGCGUGGGGAGCGAACAGGAUUAGAUACCCCUGUAGUCCCUGUCUCUUAUACC
rnacentral:rRNA from 1 species